AGUUAUAAGGUUACAAGGUUACAAGGAUAGUUAUAAGUAGUUAUAAGGUUACAAGGUUACAAGGAUAGUUAUAAGUGGUUAUAAGG